ensembl:lncRNA
AGGCAGCUCUGCCUCCAUCAUCCCCUACCGGCUCCCUCCUGCCCCACCAGGCCGGCACCAGGGACAGCUUCCCGCUCUGUGACAUCACCACCUCUGUGACACAGCUCUGUGAUGUCAUCUACCCUCUGUGAUGUCACCUGCUCAAGAUGGCUGCCACCCCUCCCCUGCCCGGGCCUGGACGCCUGGGGCCCCUYGCCCCUGCCCCAAGAACGAUCCGGAGCGGCCUUACCAAGAGUGCAUUUUAUUCUGUUUUAUGGUUUCUCUUUUUUUUCCUGGGGGAGGGAGGGGCAGGGCUGUUGCUGUAGCCAGGGGGGUCCUUCCCCCCUGCCCUCACACCCCUCCCCCCUGUGGGAGGGGGCAUGACCAGCCCCCCUGUGGGGGCAGGGCCUCCCCUCCCUGCCCCCUCCCCUCCACACAGCGCUCACCUCACAACGGGGCCAAAAGCACAAAAUUAAGAAAAGGAAGGAGGGGGAGGAAAACAAAACAAAAAAAUAAUGCAAACGAAACCAAAAAAUAUAUAUAUAUAUUUAUAGAGAUCCUUUGUCGUGCGUGCUCCACCCCGCCCCCCCCCCGCACGACAGCGCCUCGUGGUCCAGCAGCAGGCGGCCCCGCAGGCGCAGCAGGCUGUCCACACUGCUGCCCGACGGCCUGCGGGCGGCAGCGUCAGCCCCCGCAACCCCGCGCCGGGGCCCCGCUGCCCCCCGCCGCCCCCGCCGGUACCUGCUGUGGCUGCUGCCACCCCCCAUGUGGAAGGUGCCGCCCCGCUGCACGGCCAGGCGGGUGUACUGCACCCCCCGGUUCCCGCUCAGGCGGCUGGUGAAGGCUGCAGAGACACCCAGCAUCAGCAGGGGAUACGAAAGACGUGGCAAAGCCACCGGUGAUGUAGCAGAGCCAUGAGAGACACAGCAAGGACAUGAGGAACGUGGCAGAGCCAUAAGGGACACGAAGGAUGCGGCGGGACCAUGAGGGAUGCAAGGGACAUGGUGGGGCCAUGAGGAAGCCACAAGGGCCACAAGGGACAUGGUGGGGCCACAAGGGACAUGGCAGGGAUGCGCAGGAUGCGGCAGGGCCAAGAGGGAGCCACGAGGGCCACAAGAGAUGCAAGGGACAUGGUGGGACCACGAAGGCCGCGAGGAACGUGGCAGGGCCAUGAGGGAUGUGAGGGACGUGGCGGGGCCAUGAGGGAUGUGAGGGGGCCACAAGGGACAUGGCGGGGACGCAAAGGAGCCAUGAGGACUGCGGCGGGGCCACACGGGCCACAAGGGACAUGGUGGGGCCACGAGGGACGCGGGGGGGGGCCACGAGGGACGCGGGGAAUGUGGUAGGGCCAUGAGGGAUGUGGCGGGGUCGUAGUAGGGCCACAAGGGAUGCAGUGGGGGAUGCAUAGGGACACAGGCAGGUUCAGGUGGACGAGGGGAUGUGGAGAUACGUGGGGGGACGUGGGGGUCCCUCACUGGAGCCAUGAGAAAGGGCAGAAGGGACCCRUGGGGCAGGCGGGGAGGAGGGACCUGGGGGGCCUUACCGGGGCUGCGGAGGAUGGCGGAGAGGGCGGAGGUGCUGGAGUGGCCGAAGAGGCGCUCGUGCAUGAGCUGCCGCUGCCGGGCCUCCUGCUCGCGCCGCAGCGCCUGGGCCUCGGCGGCGAUGUCGGGCGGCAUCACGGCCAGCACGCUGUCCUCCAUGUCCUCCAGCACCGAGCGCCGCAGCUCUGACGGCAGCGUCUGGAUGAAGGUCACUGGGUCCAUGGGGGCCUCGGCCCCGGCCGCCUGCGCCAGCUCCCGCCGCUGCUGCUCCGCCCGCUGCUGCGCCAGCACCUGCCCCGC